UAUCGUUUUUCCUUUUGAAUAUUUGCAUGUUUAUUAGCAAGGAUACCUACAAAUUGCUUAACCUAAAUUCUAAUUUAUUUAUUAUUAUUCACAGAUACUAACAAAACCAGAGUGAUCAAGACAAUUAUUGAAGAAGUGACACCUGAUGGUAGAGUUCUUUCAUCUAUGGUUGAAUCAGAAACCAAGAAGCACUACUAAUAAGUAGCAUCAAGACGAAAGAGUCUCCCUUCGCACAGGCCAUUAUAUAACAGAUGCAUGGCAAAAUGUUCAACACUUCUGUCUUAAUGGUCUGUGGAAACAGGUUCACUCCUUGAAAAUAAGGUGUCUAAAAGGUGUUUUGUGAUUUCUGUAGUUCUUCUUUUCACUUUGCCA
rnacentral:lncRNA from 1 species